GAAAUGAUUGGUAGCCACUUUUAUUAUUAUUGAAUCAAAAUGAGGAAACAGAAAACAAUGGCUAGGACGUCUUGAAGAGAGUCAUUAUCCCACGCAAAGGCAAAGGCAAAGGCAGAGAGUAGAUUUUAAAGCAUUUAACCCAACGUGUUCUGUAGAUGAGUAGUAAUCAAAUAUGUCUGAGCCACGGGCUACUAAUUUGGAAGGCAAAGCUAACCAGCCAACAAAUAAAAAAUACACAGAUGUUCUCUAGGCCACUGUACCCAGGAUGAGAGGGGAGAUUGCAAAAAUUUUGAUGGCAAAUCUCUAAAGAGUUUGUACUCUGUCUGUCAUAUUUGUCUAAAAGCCAAGUGCCAUAGAUGGGGUUUUAUUAUAACUUAAAUCCUGAGUAACUUGUGAACAAAGGUUAUAAUGGCUCACUAGUGUUUUCUGGCUCUGAAUUUGAAGACCACUGCUGUAGACCAGUUUAUUAUUCUUUUGGUGGGCAGAGGGUGAUGUUUCCUUUUGACACAACUGAUUUGACUUCAGCUGAGCUAAUUCAGUAAUUCAGAUCAUAAUUUCAAGUAAAUCGGUAGCAGCCAACUGCACUUACCAAUUAGUUUAUGGCUUACCUGAUAAAGAUACUAGAAAUACAACAGUAUUGAUUCUUUUUGUCACAGAAAUGGGAAAAAAUUAUUUCUUUUCUUUUAAUUAUUAAAAUACUUUAUGUUUUUAUUUCAAAGGAUCUAGUUAAAUUUUCUUUAUAUCCUGGCUAUAUAUUAAAACCCCAAAUCUUAUUCUUUCCCUUGAAGGACACCAGUCUGGGGGAAGAGGGCAUCAUGGAAAAUAUACCCGAAUGCUCAAAAUCACACUCAAGAGUAUCUAAGAGUUUUGAUCCAGGCUGGGGUAUAGUAGCACCAUCUUGGCUCACUGCAACUUCUGCCUCCUGGGUUCAAGCAAUUCUCCUGCCUCAACCUCCUGAGUAGCUGGGAUUACAGGCACGUACCACCACACCCAGCUAAUUUUUGUAUUUUUAUAAAGACUAGGUUUCACCAUGUUGGCCAGGCUGGCCUUGAACUCCUUACCUACUGAGGUCCAUGCCUCUCGGCUUCUCAAAAUGCUGGGAUUACCAGCAUGAGCCACCAUACCUAGCCCAAUAUUGUAUUAAGAUAAGCAGGAUUUGGUCAUGAUGUAUCAUCCUUUUAAUAUACUGCAGGAAUUUCAUUACUAAUAAAUACUUUGUUAAGGAUUUUUUCUUUGUAUUU
rnacentral:lncRNA from 13 species